CCUACGGGAGGCAGCAGUGGGGAAUAUUGGACAAUGGGGGCAACCCUGAUUCAGCCAUGCCGCGUGUGUGAAGAAGGCCCUCGGGUUGUAAAGCACUUUCAGUGAGGAAGAACGCCUGGUGGUUAAUACCCAUCAGGAAAGACAUCACUCACAGAAGAAGCACCGGCUAACUCCGUGCCAGCAGCCGCGGUAAUACGGAGGGUGCGAGCGUUAAUCGGAAUUACUGGGCGUAAAGCGCGCGUAGGUGGCUUGAUAAGCCGGUUGUGAAAGCCCCGGGCUCAACCUGGGAACGGCAUCCGGAACUGUCAAGCUAGAGUGCAGGAGAGGAAGGUAGAAUUCCCGGUGUAGCGGUGAAAUGCGUAGAGAUCGGGAGGAAUACCAGUGGCGAAGGCGGCCUUCUGGACUGACACUGACACUGAGGUGCGAAAGCGUGGGUAGCAAACAGGAUUAGAUACCCCUGUAGUC
rnacentral:rRNA from 1 species